CAUCCCAGGACUUGAUCUGUAGGGCACCAGGCUCCUGCCGUGAGCACUAGAGCUUACCAGGCAUACUGGCCUAGCCUUGCCUCCAGCUUGUCACAGCACACCACAGCCUAUGAGGAGAUGGCUCUUCCUCCAACCCCAACCCCAUUGCUCGAUGAAACCACAGGGCAGAGGUCUCCCAAGUGGCUCCAGUGCAGCCCCGGGAUGCCUCCUAAGCCCAGCCAGACUCUUUCUCAAAGUCUUCCAAAGAGACCCAGAUAUGGCAAGCUUACCAAAGGAGGAUGCCCAAUUUAUCUCCAUCUUCAUUCGAGGCCAAGCACAGAUGAAUUUCUACUAAGACAGUACUUUGGUGCUACCUGACUUGGAUCUUGAGGUCAGAUUCUGGAGCAGAGUGAUACAGAGGGGGCGUAGUGGAUCUCUGUGUAAAGGAGCAGAAGAGAUGAGCUCCCACCUCACUCGGUAUCUGAGCACAUCCAAGAUCAGGGAGCGGAGACUCAGAUAAAUGAGCAUGCCUGGGAGAGUAAGAGAGAUGUGAACGCACUGCAGAAUGAGAACAAGCUCUAGGGAACCUCUAGAGCCUCUGCAGCAAGUCCUCUGGGCAAGCGAGCUCUACGGAACCUCAGCUCAGCUCUUUGUCGACACCUCCUGGCACUGCUCUGGAACUGCCUGCUGACUUGCUUCCUGUUUACAUAGUGUCUCCAGAGAUCAAAACCCCCAGGCAGGGUUUUAUUUAACCGCAGCUUUAUCCCAGUGUGGGGAAAACUGUGGGAGACUAUUAGCUAACUGGAUUGGUUUUUCUUGUGGAAUUUUGAGGAACUUGGUGAUCAUAAUUUGAAAACAAAUAAAAAUGCUUCGACACAUUUUUCC